rnacentral:lncRNA from 1 species
GUGAGUCCUCGUGAGGAUUUGUUUUUCCCACCUUCUCGUAAUGAUGAUCCAUACUAUGGCCCUGAUCUGCCCGUUUCAGCCAUUGCUGGACUGAAAGGAGAUGAAGCAGAAACAUUUGUGCCUAGAAAUUGUAUUAAGACUUCAGUGCAUCCCACUGCUCACUGCUGGACUGCAACCUCAGAAAUAUACAUGGGCUGUAAAGAAGGAUAUGUUUUGGCAAUUGAUGCUGAGCAAUACAGUGUUUCUGUUCUUCAAGAAAAAGCUCCACCUGGUGGCAAACCGAGUGAUCUGCAAAACACAGUUUUACUUGCAAUGGCAUUUUGCAAUGAGGGGCUGUAUGCAGCUGGACAUGAGGGUAUUUUAAUCUUUUAUCACAUCAAAGAUCUGCAAUAUGAGAUAAAAAUCUGUGCUGAUAUCUCACAGCCCAUAUCCAGCCUCAUAUUUUCUCCUGAUUACACCAGUCUGCUGCUUAUCACUGACCAGGUACAACAUUUGAGAUAAGAGCAUUACAUAAUGGGAUAUUCCUGGGAUUCUAUAUGAAUAUGCUGAUACUAUUAGUACAAAAUG